GCUGAAACACCGGUUCUCGUUCGAUCACCGAAGUUAAGCAUCGUAGAGCCAGGUCAGUAGAUGGGGGACCGCUUGGGAACACCUGGUACUGUAAG
rnacentral:rRNA from 1 species